AUUGAACGCUGGCGGCAUGCCUUACACAUGCAAGUCGAGCGGCAGCGCGGGGGCAACCCUGGCGGCGAGCGGCGUACGGGUGAGUAAUGCAUCGGAACGUGUCCUCUUGUGGGGGAUAACCAGUCGAAAGACUGGCUAAUACCGCAUGAGAUCGCAAGAUGAAAGCAGGGGACCCGCAAGGGCCUUGCGCGAGAGGAGCGGCCGAUGCCCGAUAGCUAGUUGGCGGGGUAAAAGCCCACCAAGGCGACGAUCGGUAGCUGGUCUGAGAGGACGACCAGCCACACUGGGACUGAGACACGGCCCAGACUCCUACGGGAGGCAGCAGUGGGGAAUUUUGGACAAUGGGCGCAAGCCUGAUCCAGCAAUGCCGCGUGAGUGAAGAAGGCCU
rnacentral:rRNA from 1 species